rnacentral:rRNA from 1 species
UCAAGUAAGUAAGGGCGUACGGCGGAUGCCUUGGCUAUAUCAGCCGAAGAAGGACGCGAUAAGCUGCGAUAAGCUGCGGUGAGGUGCAAGUAACCUUUGACCCGCAGAUGUCCGAAUGGGGAAACCCGGCAGUAGGAGUACUGUCAUCCUCUCAGGAGGAAGGGCACCCGGUGAACUGAAACAUCUAAGUAGCCGGAGGAAAAGGAAUCAAAAGAGAUACCCUGAGUAGCGGCGAGCGAAAGGGGCAGAGCCCAAACCGGGAUGGGAAACCAAUCCGGGGUUGCGGACUGCGGAAAACUGCACGAGCGAAGCAGAAUGAGCUGGGAAGCUCAGCCAGAGAGAGUGAGAGCCUCGUAAGCGCAAGCAGAUGCAGGGAGCAGGAUCCAGAGUACCACGAGACACGAGGAACCUUGUGGGAAGCAGGGGGGACCACCCUCCAAGGCGAAACACUGAUAUAGACCGAUAGCGCAUAGUACCGUGAGGGAAAGGUGAAAAGAACCCCGGGAGGGGAAUGAAAGAGAACCUGAAACCGUAUGUCUACAAGCAGUCGGAGCACUAUAUACGUGCGACGGCGUGCCUAUUGAAGAAUGAACCGGCGAGUUACUUCGUCCAGCGAGGUUAAGCAGGAAAUGCGGAGCCGCAGCGAAAGCGAGUCUGAAGAGGGCGAUGAGUUGGAGGGAGUAGACCCGAAACCACAGUGAUCUACCCAUGUCCAGGUUGAAGCACAGGUAAAAAUGUGUGGAGGACCGAACCAGUGAGCGUUGAAAAGCUUUUGGAUGAGAUGUGGGUAGGGGUGAAAUGCCAAUCGAACGUGGAGAUAGCUGGUUCUCCCCGAAAUAGCUUUAGGGCUAGCCUCAUGGAGAGAGUACAGGCGGUAGAGCACUGAACAGGGUAGGGGCCUAUCCGGCUACUGAACCUAAUCAAACUGCGAAUGGCUGUACUUAUACAUGGGAGUCAGACUGCGAGUAAUAAGACCCGUAGUCAAGAGGGAAACAGCCCAGACCAACAGCUAAGGUCCCCAAUGCCGUACUAAGUGGUGAAGGAUGUGGAAUUUCGAAAACAACCAGGAUGUUGGCUCAGAAGCAGCCACCAUUAAAAGAGUGCGUAAUAGCUCACUGGUCGAGAGACUCUGCGCCGAAGAUGACCGGGGCUGAAGUACGGAACCGAAGCUUUGGCAUGUAUGUAGAUACAUGGGUAGGGGAGCGUUCCUGCAUGGGAGAAGCGGUACCGGAAGGAGCCGUGGACAGGCAGGAAGAGAGAAUGCCGGUAUGAGUAGCGAAAAGAAAGGUGAGAAUCCUUUCCACCGAAAGCCUAAGGGUUCCUGGGCAACGCUCGUCGACCCAGGGUAAGUCGGGACCUAAUCCGAGGCGGAGACGCGUAGGAGAUGGACAACAGGUUGAGAUUCCUGUACUGCAGCCGUUUGUUUGAGCGACGGAGUGACGCAAGAAGGAAAGCGCGCGUGCGAGUGGAAGAGCACGUCCAAGCAGGUAGGUCGGGAGACAGGCAAAUCCGUCUCCCAUAAGGCCGAGAUGUGAUGGGGAGCUUCUGGAGACAGAAGCGAAGGGGCCGGCACUAUAUUGCCAAGAAAAGCUUCUAGUGAGAACGGCAGCACCCGUACCGAAACCGACACAGGUAGGCAGGAAGAGAAUUCUAAGGUGCGCGGGACAACCCUCGUUAAGGAACUCGGCAAAAUAUAUCCGUAACUUCGGGAAAAGGAUAGCCUGUAGUCAGUGAAGUGCAGAAGCGCACGGAGCUAAGGCAGGCGGCAGAAGAGAGGCCCAAGCGACUGUUUACCACAAACACAGGCGUCUGCUAAAGGGAAACCUGACGUAUAGAUGCUGACACCUGCCCGGUGCUGGAAGGUUAAGAGGACUUGUUAGCGCAAGCGAAGCAGAGAAUUGAAGCCCCAGUAAACGGCGGCCGUAACUAUAACGGUCCUAAGGUAGCGAAAUUCCUUGUCGGG